CAAAAAUUUUUGUUUGUUGCUGCUACUACUGCUUCUACUGGUGUUGAUAAAAUUGGGGAAAGAGAGAACAAAGUGAGCAUUCAGCUUCCCUAUCCUUUUGAGAUGUUGCCAAGAAGGCUGCCUCUUACCUCACCCAGAACACUGAGGGAAUCUGCACAACUAUAUCAGCUAAUCUGUCUGUGGCCUGUUGGGCCAGCUGACCAGCAUGUGGAGACCCCAGUAGCCAGACAACCCAUGGACUUUGACAGCUGGUGUUCCACAUACCACCACAGUUGGAACCAGUACAUUUCCAGAGUGGGCAUGCAGACCUCAACAUCCAGCAAAGACCUCAGCAGAUGACUCAAUUUUGCAGGAUUGAAAGAAGGACCUGGGUUCUACCAAAUGCCCAUGGAACCCUAGGGCUCAUGCGGAUGGGAUUGUCCUGAGACCCCUGCCUGACCUCUAAUCCAAGAGAGCAGACUGAAGAGUGGUAACUCCCAAUGUCAGCACAGAAUUUCUUUUUGUGGGACCACACAAGACUGAGUUUUCAGAAUGGAACCAACAAGCAGCAGAUGUUGGCCGACUCUCUUAUCGAUGUAAGACAAGUUCAGGACUCAGAGCUACAAAGAAUCUACUGCUAAAACUUGAGCUUGAUCUGAGUGUGUGGUCUAGAACAUGGGCUCACACUCACCUCUGUUGUGACCACAGUACCACCUUUGAUCCAGCACUGAAGAGUAUUCUUUACCCUAUGUACCCUUGGCCAUCCCUGUGGCAGAUACCUACCCCUUCUUUAGGUUCCAUGCCCCAUGUCUGGCAGUUCUCUGGGAUUUGGUCAUAUUAUCUACUCUAAGGCCUUUGGAUCUAUAUCUACUCUGGCUAUUGAUCACUGUGGUAAUGCCAUGCUUUUGUAAGAUGGACUUCCUUACACAAAUUGGACCAUUCUUUCCCUAUCCCAUUCCCCUUCCCCUCAAACUCCUCAUCUGUUCUCUCCUCUGGUGGCAGUGUAUAGAAGGAAGAGAGAGUCAACUUUUAAGAAGAUCAUGUUUUAUGUGUGCAGUGAUUAUAGCCUAAGGAGUUCAAGAGAAAAUAUAGUUGGAAGUCAUGUUGUUCUAUGCUUAUGCAUUAAAAUUCAAAACGAGAAAUUUAACAUGAAUGGAGAAUGAAUUGUUGUUCACAUGUUUCUGCAUAGUCUGGGUAAGUUUACAUUUCUGUUCAUCAUCAAUAAAACAUAGUAACAACAUUUAAGAGAGUCUUUGGGGGCCAGUAAUCAUGGAAAG
rnacentral:lncRNA from 10 species